rnacentral:rRNA from 1 species
GAUGAACGCUGGCGGCGUGCUUAACACAUGCAAGUCGAACGAGAAGUGAAGACGGAAACCUUCGGGCGGAAGGCUUUAUUUCGAGUGGCGGACGGGUGAGUAACGCGUGGGUAACCUGCCUCAUACAGGGGGAUAACAGUUGGAAACGACUGUUAAUACCGCAUAAGACCACAGCACCGCAUGGUGCGGGGGUAAAAACUCCGGUGGUAUGAGAUGGACCCGCGUUCGAUUAACCAGUUGGCGGGGUAACGGCCCACCAAAGCGACGAUCGAUAGCCGAUCUGAGAGGAUGACCGGCCACAUUGGGACUGAGACACGGCCCAAACUCCUACGGGAGGCAGCAGUGGGGAAUAUUGCACAAUGGGGGAAACCCUGAUGCAGCGACGCCGCGUGAGUGAAGAAGUAUUUCGGUAUGUAAAGCUCUAUCAGCAGGGAAGAAAAUGACGGUACCUGAGUAAGAAGCCCCGGCUAACUACGUG